ACCCGCUGAAUUUAAGCAUAUCAAUAAGCGGAGGAAAAGAAACCAACAGGGAUUGCCCUAGUAACGGCGAGUGAACAGGCAAGAGCUCAGAUUUGAAAGCCUUUUUGGCAUUGUAUUCUGAAGUCAGUUUCCUGAGUAUCGGUGUUUAAGUCUUCUGGAAAGGAGCGCCAUGGAGGGUGAUAGCCCCGUACGACACCUCACUCAUUGUAGGAUUCUGACGUGGAGUCGAGUUGUUUGGGAAUGCAGCUCAAAAGGGUGGUAUGCUCCAUCUAAAGCUAAAUAUCUGUGAGAGACCGAUAGCGAACAAGUACAGUGAUGGAAAGAUGAAAAGAACUUUGAAAAGAGAGUGAAAAAGUACGUGAAAUUGUUGAAAGGGAAGGGCUUGAGAUCAGACUUGGUAUUUUGCGAUCCUUUCCUUCUUGGUUGGGUUCCUCGCAGCUUACUGGGCCAGCAUCGGUUUGGAUGGUAGGAUAAUGACUAAGGAAUGUGGCUCUACUUCGGUGGAGUGUUAUAGCCUUGGUUGAUACUGCCUGUCUAGACCGAGGACUGCGUCUUUUGACUAGGAUGUUGGCAUAAUGAUCUUAAGCCACCCGUCUUGAAACACGGACCAAGGAG
rnacentral:rRNA from 1 species